rnacentral:rRNA from 1 species
UACGGAGGGGGCUAGCGUUGUUCGGAAUUACUGGGCGUAAAGCGCACGUAGGCGGCUUUGUAAGUUAGAGGUGAAAGCCCGGAGCUCAACUUCGGAAUUGCCUUUAAGACUGCAUCGCUUGAAUCAUGGAGAGGUCAGUGGAAUUCCGAGUGUAGAGGUGAAAUUCGUAGAUAUUCGGAAGAACACCAGUGGCGAAGGCAGCCCCCUGGGAUAACACUGACGCUCAUGCACGAAAGCGUGGGGAGCAAACAGG